UGGGGAAUAUUGCACAAUGGGGGAAACCCUGAUGCAGCAACGCCGCGUGAAGGAAGACGGUUUUCGGAUUGUAAACUUCUAUCAAUAGGGACGAAGAAAGUGACUGUACCUAAAUAAGAAGCCCCGGCUAACUACGUGCCAGCAGCCGCGGUAAUACGUAGGGGGCAAGCGUUAUCCGGAAUUACUGGGUGUAAAGGGUGAGUAGGCGGCAUGGCAAGUAAGAUGUGAAAGCCCGAGGCUUAACCUCGGGAUUGCAUUUUAAACUGCUAAGCUAGAGUACAGGAGAGGAAAGCGGAAUUCCUAGUGUAGCGGUGAAAUGCGUAGAUAUUAGGAAGAACACCAGUGGCGAAGGCGGCUUUCUGGACUGGAAACUGACGCUGAGGCACGAAAGCGUGGGGAG
rnacentral:rRNA from 1 species